GCGGUAAGGGUGGAAAGGGAGGCAAGAGCGGACCUUCCCCAUCCAGUCCAUCGGAACCAGCUAUGCCAUCCCCACCUGCACCUGAAGGCAAGGGAGGCAAAG
rnacentral:ribozyme from 14 species